rnacentral:tRNA from 1 species
ACAUCCUUAGCUCAGUGGUAGAGCUGUAGCCUUCUAAGCUGAAGGUCCCUGGUUCGAGUCCAGGAGGAUGUA